UACGUAGGGUGCAAGCGUUGUCCGGAAUUAUUGGGCGUAAAGAGCUCGUAGGCGGUCUGUUGCGUCGGCUGUGAAAACCCGGGGCUCAACCCCGGGCCUGCAGCCGAUACGGGCAGACUAGAGUUCGGCAGGGGAGACUGGAAUUCCUGGUGUAGCGGUGAAAUGCGCAGAUAUCAGGAGGAACACCGGUGGCGAAGGCGGGUCUCUGGGCCGAUACUGACGCUGAGGAGCGAAAGCGUGGGGAGCAAAAGGG
rnacentral:rRNA from 1 species